CAAUCAAGUGGCUUUYCAUAGAAGUACAAAUUGACAUAAUAUUCUUAUUUCUGCAAUUCYCUUUAUCUGUGGCAAUUUCUUCAUCAACGAGUUGAGUUCUGCUUUAGCCCUGCCAUUGGCGCAAAAUUGGCUUCCCUGACGUAUUUGCCAUUCGAAAGUSCUAUUUUUUCCAAUCGAGUGAGUUUCCACAGAUGCACACAUUGACAUACCACUAUACACAGCAAAUAGUACUUUUACUUUUGGUCUGUUUGCUUAGAGGAAAGAACAAAACGGCGAAGUAUAKCAAAAAACAAACAGCAAAGCAUCUGCCAUCCGUCGGCAUUGGAUUCGAAACYCACGACAGUUUCCGAGUUUAGUCCAACACCUCGACAAAUUCCAUUCCAGAGUUUAAUUCAGUUCCUAUAAA